GGAGUGUUGGCCUUAACCCUUAUGAUGGGUGAGGAAGGUAUCACACCUUUCUGCCUCUACAGUGGUAAACUUAGAAAGUGCAACAGCAUUUUUUGGACUUGAUCCCUUGAGAUCACAGUGGCCUGCAGUUCUAUUUCAUGUCUUACACACUGCCGAGACUUUCAGAAGCAAGGAGACGCUCCGAGAGGACCAAAGAAAUUUGGAUUUUGAUUAUGGUCCUGCUUGGCAUUUGUGGAUGCCAUGUCCCAACGUCAGCUGAAGUUGAUGGCUUGUCCCAUCCCUGCUUUUGGCAGCCUCGUGAUACCCGGUAUCUCUUGGUACCUGUCAGGCAUGUUGACCUCACUCUCCUCUGCUGGCAAUGGGCUCCUUAUGGCCAGAAAGUUAGUGACUGA
rnacentral:lncRNA from 13 species